ensembl:lncRNA PMS2P3 PMS1 homolog 2, mismatch repair system component pseudogene 3
GAGUCUUCAGGUCGCCGCUUGCUCUCGUUCCUAGGGUUUGGCCUGCAGUGGACGAGCAUCGCAUAGCCUGCGGGGCUGGAUGCUGACCGCCCGGGCCAGCACCUAGGCGGACGCGGAGCUGUGCAGACCAGGGUCUAUCAGCCACAGUCUCUGCAUGUUUCCAAGAGCAACAGGAAAUGAACACAUUGCAGGGGCCAGUGUCAUUCAAAGAUGUGGCUGUGGAUUUCACCCAGGAGGAGUGGCGGCAACUGGACCCUGAUGAGAAGAUAGCAUACGGGGAUGUGAUGUUGGAGAACUACAGCCAUCUAGUUUCUGUGGGGUAUGAUUAUCACCAAGCCAAACAUCAUCAUGGAGUGGAGGUGAAGGAAGUGGAGCAGGGAGAGGAGCCGUGGAUAAUGGAAGGUGAAUUUCCAUGUCAACAUAGUCCAGAACCUGCUAAGGCCAUCAAACCUAUUGAUCGGAAGUCAGUCCAUCAGAUUUGCUCUGGGCCAGUGGUACUGAGUCUAAGCACUGCAGUGAAGGAGUUAGUAGAAAACAGUCUGGAUGCUGGUGCCACUAAUAUUGAUCUAAAGCUUAAGGACUAUGGAGUGGAUCUCAUUGAAGUUUCAGACAAUGGAUGUGGGGUAGAAGAAGAAAACUUUGAAGGCUUAAUCUCUUUCAGCUCUGAAACAUCACACAUGUAAGAUUCAAGAGUUUGCCGACCUAACUGAAGUUGAAACUUUCGGUUUUCAGGGGGAAGCUCUGAGCUCACUGUGUGCACUGAGGUGAUACAAUGUUUUUAUCCAUUCACUUGACCCCUUAGAAAAACCUCUCAGAAAGUUAAUUGGAAUCGUUAUUUACAAUUUUCUAUCUCGGUAUCUCAGCUUCUAGCUUCUGAAUUCUGUUUUGUCUCACUGCCAAUCUAAGUCCUAGUACUUCUGAAAUGUGGGAAAUAAAUGAAUGAAAUGAA